GCUGAGCUAGUCAGAGAGGAAGAGAUGCUCUCUGGGGAUAAGACCUGCGUUUGCAGCCAGAUGAAAAGCAGGGCAGUGGGUUGUGGAUUUUAGACAGCUGUUUCAGAAAGCCUUCCCACCAGGACGUGAGCAAGGUCUCCUGAACAGGGAAGCUUACACAAGUCAAGGCUUAUAAGGAAGGAAAACCACACCCCCCAAAAGACUGCAAUUCAAAGUCUGGUGAGUGACUGGAGGUGGGGGGAAGGGGUGGGGAAAUGCCAGACUACAGGAUUCUUAUCAGAAA
rnacentral:lncRNA from 1 species